GAGGGAUAUUGGACAAUGGGCGGAAGCCUGAUCCAGCCAUGCCGCGUGAAGGAUUAAGGUCCUCUGGAUUGUAAACUUCUUUUAUAAGGGACGAAAAAAGGUCUUUCUAGAUCGUCUGACGGUACCUUAUGAAUAAGCACCGGCUAACUCCGUGCCAGCAGCCGCGGUAAUACGGAGGGUGCAAGCGUUAUCCGGAUUCACUGGGUUUAAAGGGUGCGUAGGCGGGCAGGUAAGUCAGUGGUGAAAUCCUAGAGCUCAACUCUAGAACUGCCAUUGAUACUAUCUGUCUUGAAUAUUGUGGAGGUAAGCGGAAUAUGUCAUGUAGCGGUGAAAUGCUUAGAUAUGACAUAGAACACCUAUUGCGAAGGCAGCUUACUACGCAUAUAUUGACGCUGAGGCACGAAAGCGUGGGGAUCAAAC
rnacentral:rRNA from 1 species